CCCUUAGAUGUCCUGGGCCGCACGCGCGCUACCCUGAUGCAUUCAACGAGUUUUACCUUGGCCGAGAGGCCUGGGCAAUCUUUUAAACCUGCAUCGUGAUAGGGAUAGAUUAUUGCAAUUAUUAAUCUUGAACGAGGAAUUCCUAGUAAACGCAGAUCAUCAAUCUGCAUUGAUUACGUCCCUGCCCUUUGUACACACCGCCCGUCGCACCUACCGAUUGAAUGGUCCGGUGAAGCCUCGGGAUUGUGGCCAGUUCACUUUAUUGGGAGUUGGCUGCGAGAACUUGUCUAAACCUUAUCAUUUAGAGGAAGGUGAAGUCGUAACA
rnacentral:rRNA from 1 species